ACGGAUGAUUUCUUCGGAAUGAAACCAGAUAUGACUUAGUGGCGGACGGGUGAGUAACGCGUGGGUAACCUGCCUUGUACAGGGGGAUAACAGUUGGAAACGGCUGCUAAUACCGCAUAAGCGCACGGUUCCGCAUGGAACAGUGUGAAAAACUCCGGUGGUGUGAGAUAGCCUCGCGUCCGAUUAGCUAGUUGGUGAGGUAACGGCUCACCAAGGCAACGAUACAUAGGGGGACUGAGAGGUUAACCCCACACUGGUACUGAGACACGGACCAGACUCC
rnacentral:rRNA from 1 species